AUGCAAAGGCGGCUGAUGUAAUAAAAAAAAAAAAAAACCUAAAAUAAUUAAUCAAAACUGUCAUAUAAGAUCCCUAAAAAAAUUCUAUCCUUCUCUUGUACAAAUAUCAAAUCCCCCAUUCUCAAUUAUAUUGGAAAAUCAAUCUCCUCUUUCUGUUCCUAUUUACAAUCAACCUAACCAAUCUAGGGAUGUAGGCAGCUUCUGGAUUCAAAGCAACUAAAGCCUUGGACAUGUCGCAUUCUUGAACUUCCAUGUUUGCUUGCAUGUGUUGCUGGCUCUUCAAUGAUAGGUACACAACUGACAAUAUCUGAUACUCCUGUUUUAGGUGGAUUCUUCUCGGAUGGAGGUAAUGGCAUGGGAUUAAUAACUAUGCCAGAGCCUUUCUCCAUUUCUAAAGGAACAGUUGAAGUCAACAUACUCUUCUCUUCUGGCCCAGGUAGCGCAAGCCUUGCACUGCAAAAUACAGAGGUCACAUUCAGCUUCAUUCUCUGAAGUAUUAAUCUUAUGGAUACUGGAAACAAGAGGUAUUUCUGAAUUGACUCGAGUACUGGGUACCUAAAAGAAUGAGAUUACCAUUUUCAUAUCAAUGGAAAUGUGUGGGGACAAUUGCUUGGAAAAUGGAUACUUACAGUUCUAGGAGGUGUAUUUGAAGUGACUCUGGCAAUGGUUGAAGAGGUACCCAUCCCAGUCUAACUGCUAUCCGUCCAACAUUUGUGUCAACCUUCAUGAAAAUGUAAAUGAAUUAGUUGAUUGUAAGAUUUUGCAGCCCUCUUGUAAGUUGCUCUUGAUCUGUAGUUUACACUUAUUUAACUUACAGGGAAAGCUAGAUGAUGAAGUGUUAAGAGUCGCACACACUCCACGCUUUUCAACCCUAAUCCUUUCAUACUUAGAAGCUGCAUCCUGUGCCCCUUGUACAACCCUUUUGCUCGUGCAACUUGCAUCUUUUUCCUUGUUGAAUCUGGAGGCACUUGAAGGCCAAGAAGAUAUGCUCUUUUCUCUGUUCGGUCCAACACAAUCCACUUCUACCAUCUCAGAUUGUGCAGUUGUGCACAACUGAUAGUUACAAGAAGGAAGUACUGGUACUUGCAUCUGAGGAUUAUUGUAAAUAAUUUGCUGAUAAAACGCAGAAGAGCCAUGUCUAUAUAACUCUUCAUACAAGGUGGUGGUCUCAACUUGCGGAUGCUUUGUUAAAAAUGUACUGGGACUCUUGCUAUGUCUGUACUCAUUUGCAUGAUCUUCUGCUUCUGAGUUGGAGCCUGAGUAGGAUCUGACUCCACCAUUGCUUUGAAUAACUGAGGAAUCAAAGGAAUCUUGUGAUGAAAAAACUUCUGGAGGGCUAUGACUACGAGACUCUACAAUGCUUGUCCUGUCUGUCCAUGAGGUCUCAGAGUCUCUUUGAUAUUCUGUUGAUUCGCAGUGCGUCGUAGAGUUCUGCUUAUAGAAAGGGUGUUGUAACAACUUCUCAUUCCAUUUGAUUGAGUCAAACAGAAUUAUUGCCCCAUCUCUCUCACAGGUUAUGUUUCUUGUUGACUUACGAGGAAAUCUUGCAGCUAGAGACAUGAAGGCGGAGCUGCAUGAAGGGUGGUCUGAAACAUUUUGAGUAAGGAAGACUCCUAUCACUGAAUCAACAACUGAUCCCUUCCAUUUUGAGAAGCGCCUAUCUCCUGUAGAGUUAUUGCAUUCAUACAUUAAGGUGAUUGGUGAUCUUGCAAGAUGUCCAUACGUAUUUUUCGCAUUUUGCCUUCUCUAAAUGGAACAGAUUUGGAUUGAGAAGACCCCACUGCCUGCUUUAUUGACACAUUGAUGUUGGAAGUUUUAGGAUGUAGUUGGUCUACAGGUUGAGGGCCUGUUUUUUGAGGACUAGGUGGAAGCAUGUUAAAGUUCUCAACUGUGGCUAGGGCAGCAAGGUUUUGGAUGUUCAUGGAUCUUUUGGUGUCUUCAAUCUUUUCCAUGCAUGCAGUGGAUCCUGAUAAUACAGGUUGCUUUGACACAUCUUGUCCAGAAGCCACUUGAUGUAUGUACAAGUCAACAGGAAAUCUGGUGGACCCACUAUUUUCUUUCGUCCUGAAAUUAUAGCUUUCCGUGUGUGAGUUCCAUGUUUCCCUAUUCCUGUAUGCUGUAGAUUCAGUUGUAUGGAGAUUUUUUCUGCUGCUUAUAUUUAGCAUUGAAUGGUUGACAGCUGCAUCAGAAGGUAGCAAACCG